rnacentral:lncRNA from 1 species
AUGCAUUAAGGAUUCCUCCUGAAAAACUUGAUUUAUAUGCAUUUCAUCAAUUGUUUCAUUUUUAAUAUAAAUUCUGUUUCAAAUGCAAGUAAUGCUAAUUAUAUUUGCUAUUCAGUAUCAAAUAAGAAACAUGUACCGUCUUUUUCCGAAAAUAAGACAUCCUCCGAAAAUAAGCCCUAUCGUGAUUUUCGGAACUUUUUGUAAAAUAAGACAUCCCCCGAAAAUAAGACCUAUCGUGAUUUUCGGAACUUUUUGUAAAAUAAGACAUCCCCGAAAAUUAGACCUAUUGUGAUUUUCGGAACUUUUUGUAAAAUAAGACAUCCCCCGAAAAUAAUCCCUAGUUAAAAUAACGUGACAAAAAGAAUUCGUUAAAAAUGCUGUUGAUUUAUUAAGUACGGUAUAAGUAAUAAUAUGUAAUUAAUCAAUUCAAUAAACCUAUACGGGAUUAAUCGGGAAAUUAAAUAAAAAUUCUAGUUUAAUUAUUAAUUAACAGAUGGCGCCACCUUAGCUCAAAUUUAGAAAAUAAUUAAUUAUUAAUUCAAUAGAUGCACCA